ACAGAGAUGUUGUCAAAUGACAAAAAGUGUGUUACGUGUUCUUCUACAAUUUUGUAGUUGACAAUUCACUCGUAUCUGCAAAAUUCGUGUCGAGACCCAUAGUGGUGCGUAACAAUGUUAUCG
ensembl:snoRNA Y71F9AL.24 ncRNA